rnacentral:rRNA from 1 species
CUACGGGGUGCAGCAGUCGAGAAUCUUCCGCAAUGGACGAAAGUCUGACGGAGCGACGCCGCGUGCGGGAUGAAGGCCUUCGGGUUGUAAACCGCUGUCAGCGGGGAGGAAAUGCAUCAGGGUUCUCCCUGGUGUUUGACCGAUCCGCAGAGGAAGCGCAGGCUAAGUUCGUGCCAGCAGCCGCGGUAACACGAACUGCGCGAACGUUAUUCGGAAUCACUGGGCUUAAAGAGUUCGUAGGCGGCCUUUCAAGUCGGGCGUGAAAUCCCUCGGCUUAACCGAGGAAUUGCGCCUGAUACUGUUGGGCUUGAGGGGGAUAGGGGUGAGCGGAACUGAUGGUGGAGCGGUGAAAUGCGUUGAUAUCAGCAGGAACACCGGUGGCGAAGGCGGCUCACUGGAUCUCUUCUGACGCUGAGGAACGAAAGCUAGGGGAGCGAACGGGAUUAGAUACCCUCGUAGUC